AGAUUUGCACAGCGGCAGUAUAUCAUAGCCAAUGAGGUUUAUCCGAGGUGCGAUUAUUGCUAAUUGAAAACUUUUCCCAAAUGCCGGCACCUUCUUCUCUCUCUCUCUCUCUCUCAAAGAGUUUUUUAUUAUUUAUUUUAAA